rnacentral:rRNA from 1 species
ACGAACGCUGGCGGCGUGCCUAAUACAUGCAAGUAGAACGCUGAAGAGAGGAGCUUGCUCUUCUUGGAUGAGUUGCGAACGGGUGAGUAACGCGUAGGUAACCUGCCUUGUAGCGGGGGAUAACUAUUGGAAACGAUAGCUAAUACCGCAUAACAAUGGAUGACACAUGUCAUUUAUUUGAAAGGGGCAAUUGCUCCACUACAAGAUGGACCUGCGUUGUAUUAGCUAGUAGGUGAGGUAACGGCUCACCUAGGCGACGAUACAUAGCCGACCUGAGAGGGUGAUCGGCCACACUGGGACUGAGACACGGCCCAGACUCCUACGGGAGGCAGCAGUAGGGAAUCUUCGGCAAUGGGGGCAACCCUGACCGAGCAACGCCGCGUGAGUGAAGAAGGUUUUCGGAUCGUAAAGCUCUGUUGUAAGUCAAGAACGAGUGUGAGAGUGGAAAGUUCACACUGUGACGGUAGCUUACCAGAAAGGGACGGCUAACUACGUGCCAGCAGCCGCGGUAAUACGUAGGUCCCGAGCGUUGUCCGGAUUUAUUGGGCGUAAAGCGAGCGCAGGCGGUUUGAUAAGUCUGAAGUUAAAGGCUGUGGCUCAACCAUAGUUCGCUUUGGAAACUGUCAAACUUGAGUGCAGAAGGGGAGAGUGGAAUUCCAUGUGUAGCGGUGAAAUGCGUAGAUAUAUGGAGGAACACCGGUGGCGAAAGCGGCUCUCUGGUCUGUAACUGACGCUGAGGCUCGAAAGCGUGGGGAGCGAACAGGAUUAGAUACCCUGGUAGUCCACGCCGUAAACGAUGAGUGCUAGGUGUUGGAUCCUUUCCGGGAUUCAGUGCCGCAGCUAACGCAUUAAGCACUCCGCCUGGGGAGUACGACCGCAAGGUUGAAACUCAAAGGAAUUGACGGGGGCCCGCACAAGCGGUGGAGCAUGUGGUUUAAUUCGAAGCAACGCGAAGAACCUUACCAGGUCUUGACAUCCCGAUGCUAUUUCUAGAGAUAGAAAGUUACUUCGGUACAUCGGUGACAGGUGGUGCAUGGUUGUCGUCAGCUCGUGUCGUGAGAUGUUGGGUUAAGUCCCGCAACGAGCGCAACCCCUAUUGUUAGUUGCCAUCAUUCAGUUGGGCACUCUAGCGAGACUGCCGGUAAUAAACCGGAGGAAGGUGGGGAUGACGUCAAAUCAUCAUGCCCCUUAUGACCUGGGCUACACACGUGCUACAAUGGUUGGUACAACGAGUUGCGAGUCGGUGACGGCAAGCUAAUCUCUUAAAGCCAAUCUCAGUUCGGAUUGUAGGCUGCAACUCGCCUACAUGAAGUCGGAAUCGCUAGUAAUCGCGGAUCAGCACGCCGCGGUGAAUACGUUCCCGGGUCUUGUACACACCGCCCGUCACACCACGAGAGUUUGUAACACCCGAAGUCGGUGAGGUAACCUUUUGGAGCCAGCCGCCUAAGGUGGGAUAGAUGAUUGGGGUG